rnacentral:rRNA from 1 species
AUUGAACGCUGGCGGCAGGCCUAACACAUGCAAGUAGAGCGGAGCGGCGGACGGGUGAGUAAUGUCAGGGAAACUGCCUGAUGGAGGGGGAUAACGUCCGGAAACGGGCGAUAAUACCGCAUACUAACAGCUGAGCCAAGGUCGGAUGAGCUCGUAGGGGGGGUAACGCCUCACCUAGGCGACGAUCCCUAGCUGGUGUGAGAGGUUGACCAGCCACACUGGAACUGAGACACGGUCCAGUAUCCUACGGGAGGCAGCAUUGGGGAAUAUUGCACAAUGGGCGCAAGCCUGAUGCAGCCAUGCCGCGUGUGUGAAGAAGGCCUUCGGGUUGUAAAGCACUUUAAGUUGGGAGGCGUUACCAACAGAAUAAGCACCGGCUAACUUCGUGCCAGCAGCCGCGGUAAUAC